rnacentral:tRNA from 1 species
GGUAGGGUGGCCGAGGGUAAGGCGGUGGUUUGUAGCUCCAUGAACGAAGGUUCAAGUCCUUCUCCUAUCA